GCUGCCCGCCCGCCCUUCUACAGACAGUCACUGAGGAGGCGGCCAGAGCCUGGGCUGCGACCCUUACUGCAGCUGCUGAGUAAAAUUGUGAGGAAAAAUAUCCAAAAAUAUAUAUAUUUACCAGUACUAGUCAGAUGGUGGAGUACAGCAAGAAAGCCCACAUUAUCUGAGACCAUCACUGACAACGAUCAGUGCUGGCAGGUGGCAGAAGAGGCUGAACUGUUCUUACCUUGGAUAAACCUAGUCAGUGCUGCGGGAGGUGUUUCAGCCUUCAAGCUGUCAUGCCUCAGGUGGCUGAAGCUGCUCUAUUGGAAAGUAGAGGACAAGCGGAGGCUGCCAGAGCUGGAGGACAUGAUGAAACUUGUUCAGGAUCUGAGACCUGGCAGAAGAUCAGCUACAGGAAGAGAUGCCUGA
rnacentral:lncRNA from 1 species